UACGUAGGGGGCAAGCGUUGUCCGGAUUUAUUGGGCGUAAAGAGCGUGUAGGCGGCUUUGCAAGUCCGUUGUGAAAACCCGAGGCUCAACCUCGAGACGCCGGUGGAAACUGCAAAGCUAGAGUCCGGAAGAGGAGAGUGGAAUUCCUGGUGUAGCGGUGAAAUGCGCAGAUAUCAGGAAGAACACCCGUGGCGAAGGCGGCUCUCUGGGACGGUACUGACGCUGAGACGCGAAAGCGUGGGGAGCGAACAGG
rnacentral:rRNA from 1 species